rnacentral:rRNA from 1 species
ACGUAAGUGAAUACCAUCUUGAACACACCUGAUUUUGUCUGAUCUCAGAAGCUAAGUAAGGUUGGAUUUGGCUAGUAAUUGGAUGGGAGACAUUUGAACUUUUUAAGAA